rnacentral:tRNA from 1 species
GCGGCUGUAGCUCCCAAUGGUGGAGCGACAGCCUUCAAAGUUGCUGAUGAGGAUGGUUCGAUCCCCUUCAGUUGAA